AAACCAACCGGGAUUGCCUUAGUAACGGCGAGUGAAGCGGCAAAAAGCUCAAAUUUGAAAUCUGGUACCUUCGGUGCCCCGAGUUGUAAUUUGGAGAGGGCAACUUUGGGGCCGUUCCUUGUCUAUGUUCCUUGGAACAGGACGUCAUAGAGGGUGAGAAUCCCGUGUGGCGAGGAGUGCGGUUCUUUGUAAAGUGCCUUCGAAGAGUCGAGUUGUUUGGGAAUGCAGCUCUAAGUGGGUGGUAAAUUCCAUCUAAAGCUAAAUAUUGGCGAGAGACCGAUAGCGAACAAGUACAGUGAUGGAAAGAUGAAAAGAACUUUGAAAAGAGAGUGAAAAAGUACGUGAAAUUGUUGAAAGGGAAGGGCAUUUGAUCAGACAUGGUGUUUUGUGCCCUCUGCUCCUUGUGGGUAGGGGAAUCUCGCAUUUCACUGGGCCAGCAUCAGUUUUGGUGGCAGGAUAAAUCCAUAGGAAUGUAGCUUGCCUCGGUAAGUAUUAUAGCCUGUGGGAAUACUGCCAGCU
rnacentral:rRNA from 1 species